UAAUACGGGGGGUGCAAGCGUUGUUCGGAAUCAUUGGGCGUAAAGAGCGUGUAGGCGGCGUGAUAAGUCAGAUGUGAAAGCCCUGGGCUCAACCUGGGAAGUGCAUUUGAAACUGUCAUGCUUGAGUAGGGGAGAGGGAAGUGGAAUUCCUGGUGUAGAGGUGAAAUUCGUAGAUAUCAGGAGGAACACCGGUGGCGAAGGCGACUUCCUGGCCCUAUACUGACGCUGAGACGCGAGAGCGUGGGUAGCAAACAGGAUUAGAUACCCUGGUAGUCCACGCCGUAAACGAUGUUCACUAGGUGUUGGGGGUAUUGACCCCCUCAGUGCCGCAGCUAACGCAUUAAGUGAACCGCCUGGGGAGUACGGUCGCAAGACUAAAACUUAAAUGAAUUGACGG
rnacentral:rRNA from 1 species